GCGGUCAUGGUGGAAUGGUAGACACGCUGAUCUCAGACGUCAGUGAGGAAACUCAUGCAGGUUCAAGUCCUGUUGGCCGCA
rfam:Bulleidia extructa W1219 contig00008, whole genome shotgun sequence.